rnacentral:rRNA from 1 species
UACGUAGGGUGCGAGUGUUAAUCGGAAUUACUGGGCGUAAAGUGUGCGCAGGCGGUAUAGCAAGUCGAGUGUGAAAGCCCCGAGCUUAACUUGGGAAUUGCGCUCGAAACUACUGUACUGGAGUAUGGCAGAGGAAGGUGGAAUUCCACGUGUAGCGGUGAAAUGCGUAGAGAUGUGGAGGAACACCAAUGGCGAAGGCAGCCUUCUGGGCCAAUACUGACGCUCAUGCACGAAAGCGUGGGGAGCAAACAGG